rnacentral:RNase_P_RNA from 1 species
CAGCUGGACCGGAUGGCCGCUCUCAUUGCAUCAAGCAAGGGGAGAGGAAAGUCCGAACUCCAAAGAGCAGUGUGCCGGAUAACGUCCGGGAAGUCGGCGUCAAGGCCGAUUGACGGAAAGUGCCACAGAAAAUAUACCGCCCCGCUGUCGUGAGUCGUUGGCCACUCGUCCCUUGGUAGGCGGCCAAAAAUGCUUCUUGGUCGAGCGGGAAGUUGCGUCCCUAGCCAACUUGAGCUGCUAGGUCAACGCCUUCCCGAACGACGGGCGGCGAAUAGCGAACGACUCAUAACGGCGGGGUAAGGGUGAAAUGGUGCGGCAAGAGCGCACCGCCGUCCCAGUAAUGGAGCGGGCAUGGCAAACCCCACACGGAGCAAGACCAAAUAGGGAAGAAGUUUCGCCGCCGCUGAAGGAGCUGCGAGCAAUGGAUAGCAAUGGAUGAUGAUGAGCGGUACAGAUUGUGCUUGCUAUCAGGCUGAUCGUUCCCCAGCUCGCUUCAGCGGCGGCGAAUGCGUGCCGGCUCGGCGCGCCAUCACUUCCGGGUAGGUCGCUUGAGCCGUGCAGCAAUGCACGGCCCAGAGGAAUGGCCGUCCUGCGAAGACGUGGCCAAUCGCCUCGGACUUCGGUCCGGCGCGAUGCCAGUUCAGCAGACAGAAUUCGGCUUACGUGGUCCGGCUGCCAC